UUGUAGCAGAAUCUAAUGAGGGUUCCGUUUCUCUUCUGUCCACUGUCCGAGGAGGCACACUACAUAUUGUAGUGUGCCUUAAUUGGGUUCAGCCACCAUAAAUCCUGACAAUUGGCCGUUAGAGGGGAGAGGAGGCAUAAAUUGUCAAGGAGGUGGCAUUCCCCAAGGUGUUUCCAAAGGAGUUAAUUAAAGAGGGAUAUGGAUUGGACAUCUGAGCCGUUGGGACAGUCAUUCAUAUCUCUGUUUUUUUUAACAUAUUGUGAGCAACCAAAGUGCUUGUGAAUAAUCUUCUGACUAUAUUAAUAAAUAAUAUACAUGA